rnacentral:rRNA from 1 species
AACGCGAAGAACCUUACCUGGGUUUGACAUGCACAGGACGCUGGUAGAGAUAUCAGUUCCCUUGUGGUCUGUGUGCAGGUGGUGCAUGGCUGUCGUCAGCUCGUGUCGUGAGAUGUUGGGUUAAGUCCCGCAACGAGCGCAACCCUUGUCUCAUGUUGCCAGCGCGUUAUGGCGGGGACUCGUGAGAGACUGCCGGGGUCAACUCGGAGGAAGGUGGGGAUGACGUCAAGUCAUCAUGCCCCUUAUGUCCAGGGCUUCACACAUGCUACAAUGGCCGGUACAAAGGGCUGCGAUGCCGUGAGGUUAAGCGAAUCCUUUAAAGCCGGUCUCAGUUCGGAUCGGGGUCUGCAACUCGACCCCGUGAAGUCGGAGUCGCUAGUAAUCGCAGAUCAGCAACGCUGCGGUGAAUACGUUCCCGGGCCUUGUA